rnacentral:tRNA from 1 species
AAUAAAAUGGCUGAGAUAAGCGGUAAACUGUAAAUUUAUUUACGAGAGUAAAUUCUCUUUUAUU